UUCUGGCCUGAGGACGUGGGGGACAGGUUCGUGGGACCAGGGUAGGUGUCAGCACCUCCGGCUGCCUCCCAGCCCGCUUAAAUGAGACGGGCCCAACCCCUGUGUUCGCAGACUUCUGUGGGUGUGAGCGCGGAGCCCCGCCCGGGACAACGCUUAACUCUAGCGGACGGGCACGUAUGGAGGCCACACAGACCCAGCGCUGCCCCUGUGUAUCCUGGGCAAAUCACUCUGAACACCCGUUUCUCCGUCUGCGAAAUGGGUAAACUGUACCAAUUCACAGCCCGCUGUGAGGAUUUAAGUAAUGACACAAGUAAAUCACCCGGGGUAGAGAUCUAAAACCUCCUGCCUGGGAGCCAAAUCCAGCCUGCGCCUUUUUUUUUUUUUUUUUCCUGUUUUAGCAGAUGUGCCUGUUUUCCUACUCCUGUGAGCCAAGAAUGGUUUUUACAUUUUUAAAUAGUUGGCAGAAAUCAAAAGAACAUUUCAUGACACAUGAAAAUCAAUAAAAUUCAAAUUUCAGUGUCCACAAAUAAA